AAAUCGCCGUUGCCGUCAUUCCAUACGACGUUAGAGUACGGCUCGAACGACGUAACUGAAAUUCCAACACAUUAGGGAGAGAUAGUGGUGGUGGAAGGGAAGAUAUUCGUAUAGUGAAAUGGAUGGUGUUUGUCGGUGUGCCACACACUGCAAUACUGCGACACCGCAGUGAUAUUCCCGCUCUCGGUUUUGAUAAUUUCGCGAUCUCGGAUGCGAACAUGGGUUAAACGACCGCCUUUAAACGGGUUUGCGUAAAAUAGUCGA